rnacentral:rRNA from 1 species
AGCUCAAAUUUAUAAUCUGGCACCUUCGGUGUCCGAGUUGUAAUCUCUAGAAAUGUUUUCCGCGUUGGACCGCACACAAGUCUGUUGGAAUACAGCGGCAUAGUGGUGAGACCCCCGUAUAUGGUGCGGACGCCCAGCGCUUUGUGAUACAUUUUCGAAGAGUCGAGUUGUUUGGGAAUGCAGCUCAAAUUGGGUGGUAAAUUCCAUCUAAAGCUAAAUAUUGGCGAGAGACCGAUAGCGAACAAGUACCGUGAGGGAAAGAUGAAAAGCACUUUGGAAAGAGAGUUAACAGUACGUGAAAUUGUUGGAAGGGAAACGCUUGAAGUCAGACUUGCUUGCCGAGCAAUCGGUUUGCAGGCCAGCAUCAGUUUUCCGGGAUGGAUAAUGGUAGAGAGAAGGUAGCAGUUUCGGCUGUGUUAUAGCUCUCUGCUGGAUACAUCUUGGGGGACUGAGGAACGCAGUGUGCCUUUGGCGGGGGUUUCGACCUCUUCACACUUAGGAUGCUGGUGGAAUGGCUUUAAACGAC